AGAAGCAGCAGGAGGAGGAGGCGGAGAGGCUGAGGCGCAUCCAAGAGGAGAUGGAAAAGGAAAGGAAGAGACGCGAAGAAGACGAACAGCGUCGGCGGAAGGAGGAGGAGGAGAGGCGGAUGAAACUUGAGAUGGAAGUGAAGAGAAAACAAGAAGAAGAGGAAAGGAAGAAGCGGGAAGAUGAUGAGAAGCGCAUCCAGGCUGAGGUGGAGGCACAGCUGGCAAGACAGCGGGAAGAGGAGUCCCAGCAGCAGGCGGUCCUGGCACAGGAGUGCAGGGACAGGGAGUUGGCCCUGCGCAUCGCCCAGAACGAGUCGGAGCUCAUCAGUGAUGAGGCUCAGGGUGACACGGCACUCCGAAGCUCAAGUUCCUGCCCAGCAAGUUCUAAAACUAAUGGAACCAGACCCCAAAUGACACCG
rnacentral:lncRNA from 1 species